UUCAGGGUGUGGGGAUUGGUCAGCGGUCCUCUCAUUGAUUUGGAUUGGAGCUCAAUCAAACUUGAGACUAUCGUGGCCCACUGGUUUCAUCUGUUCUUAUUAUUUGAUAGUACAGAAGGCUAAAACUAAUUUCUGAAAUACAAGAAGAAGAAAGGGUGCACGAGCCCUAUGCAUCUCUGUUGCGCCCAAGAGAACAGAUAGCUGCUGUGUUGGUGUCCUGACAGAUGAAGAGAGAUGAACAAAGCAUCUUUAAAAGAAGACCUGGUCUGGGCCUUGAGGGGUGCUGGAUCUGAGUCCCUGAUACACAUUGCUGAUUGAGAAGGGAAAAGAAAGAAAGGAGUGAAGGGCAACACUACGUGACAAACUGCUUUUUGAGGCAGAGGAGGAGGGGAUUUAAAUUGGAGCGCCGUCUUUUUCUCUCAUUGUAUUUAAUGGCUCUUAUUGUGAGGGCUGUCAGGCCACAAGGGAUCCUUGAAGGAGGGAUAGGGCCAUUCCUUCUGCCACUCUGAAGAAAAGAUAAAGGGAGAAGUGGAUCAAGAAAAGAAG